rnacentral:rRNA from 1 species
CAGCCGCCGCGGUAAUACAGAGGGUGCAAGCGUUAAUCGGAAUUACUGGGCGUAAAGCGCGCGUAGGUGGUUUGUUAAGUUGGAUGUGAAAUCCCCGGGCUCAACCUGGGAACUGCAUCCAAAACUGGCAGGCUAGAGUAGGGCAGAGGGUGGUGGAAUUUCCUGUGUAGCGGUGAAAUGCGUAGAUAUAGGAAGGAACACCAGUGGCGAAGGCGACCACCUGGGCUCAUACUGACACUGAGGUGCGAAAGCGUGGGGAGCAAACAGGAUUAGAGACCCGUGUAGUCCCUGUCUCUUAUAC